GACGAACGCUGGCGGCGUGCUUAACACAUGCAAGUCGAGCGGUAAGGCCCCUUCGGGGGUACACGAGCGGCGAACGGGUGGGUAACACGUGGGUGACCUGCCCUCAGCUCUGGGAUAAGCCUGGGAAACUGGGUCUAAUACCGGAUAUGACUCCAUGACGCAUGUCGUGGGGUGGAAAGCCUUGUGCGGCUGGGGAUGGGCCCGCGGCCUAUCAGCUUGUUGGUGGGGUGAUGGCCACCAAGGCGACGACGGGUAGCCGGCCUGAGAGGGCGACCGGCCACACUGGGACUGAGACACGGCCCAGACUCCUACGGGAGGCAGCAGUGGGGAAUCUUGCGCAAUGGGCGAAAGCCUGACGCAGCGACGCCGCGUGAGGGAUGACGGCCU
rnacentral:rRNA from 1 species